rnacentral:rRNA from 1 species
CANCGGCGGCUCGAGUGGUAACCGUUAUUAUUGGGUCUAAAGGGUCUGUAGCCGGCCGGAUAAGUCUCUUGAGAAAUCUGGCAGCUUAACUGUCAGGCUUUCAGGAGAUACUGUCUGGCUCGAGGCCGGGAGAGGUGAGAGGUACUUCAGGGGUAGGGGUGAAAUCUUGUAAUCCUUGAAGGACCACCAGUGGCGAAGGCGGCUCACCAGAACGGACCUGACGGCAAGGGACGAAAGCUAGGGGCACGAACCGG